rnacentral:rRNA from 1 species
CAGUAGCCACGGUAAUACGAAGGGUGCAAGCGUUACUCGGAAUUACUGGGCGUAAAGCGUGCGUAGGUGGUGGUUUAAGUCCGUUGUGAAAGCCCUGGGCUCAACCUGGGAAUUGCAGUGGAUACUGGGUCACUAGAGUGUGGUAGAGGAUAGUGGAAUUUCCGGUGUAGCAGUAAAAUGCGUAGAGAUCGGAAGGAACAUCUGUGGCGAAGGCGACUAUCUGGGCCAACACUGACACUGAGGCACGAAAGCGUGGGGAGCAAACAGGAUUAGAUACCCCAGUAGUCCCUGUCUCUUAUAC